rnacentral:rRNA from 1 species
GACGUAGGGUGCGAGCGUUGUCCGGAAUUACUGGGCGUAAAGAGCUCGUAGGUGGUUUGUCGCGUUGUUCGUGAAAACUCACAGCUCAACUGUGGGCGUGCGGGCGAUACGGGCAGACUAGAGUACUGCAGGGGAGACUGGAAUUCCUGGUGUAGCGGUGGAAUGCGCAGAUAUCAGGAGGAACACCGGUGGCGAAGGCGGGUCUCUGGGCAGUAACUGACGCUGAGGAGCGAAAGCGUGGGGAGCGAACAGG